rnacentral:lncRNA from 1 species
GUAGAGGAAGCGGAGGGAGUGGAGCACGGUCAGUACUCAGGCGAGGGCUCCCUCUGCUGGCUUGGCGUUACAUUAUCUCAUUAGAAAAAUAGUUCAACACUGCUUAUUAUGGUUAUGUCAACAAUGGCAGGUCUCAAGACCUGCAAGAGCAUAUCUUAUAUUUUAUUUCCAAAAAUAUGCCAAAAUAUACAACAUGUGUUGAUGCAGAAGAGAUGGUGAAGGAAAUCACUCCGGGAUACUAUGAUGAUGUCAUCACUGAUGGACUAAAACCAGAUCGUGAGACAGAAGACAGAACUAUGAGCUAUGAUGAUGUCAUGAUGAGUGGACAGAACUCUGAUAUUAAAAAAGUGGACAAACCAGAGCACUAUGAUGAUGUCAUCAUUAUUGGACAGAACGUUCCAGGUUUAACAGAGGGAGAUCAGGAGGAGUAUGAUGAUGUGAAGAACAGCAAUGAAGAUGAGAGAAGCCUGUUGGGUAGGGUAUUGUUACAUUUUCACAUAAUCUCUACACU